ensembl:ncRNA D1022.13 ncRNA
GACAAAGGCUUUGUUUGUCUGAUUGACUUUGGAUCUUAGACAUUUGACUUUCAGACUGUUUGAAUUUGAGCUUAAACUCAAAAGUUCUCUAACCUUAUACAUAGAUACUUGACGAUUUCCUCUUAGCCCCUGACGACGUCAUUAU